rnacentral:rRNA from 1 species
CCUACGGGAGGCUGCAGUGAGGAAUAUUGGUCAAUGGACGAGAGUCUGAACCAGCCAAGUAGCGUGAAGGAUGACUGCCCUAUGGGUUGUAAACUUCUUUUAUAAAGGAAUAAAACGAGGCACGUGUGCCUUUUUGCAUGUACUUUAUGAAUAAGGAUCGGCUAACUCCGUGCCAGCAGCCGCGGUAAUACGGAGGAUCCGAUCGUUAUCCGGAUUUAUUGGGUUUAAGGGGAGCGUAGAUGGGUUGUUAAGUCAGUUGUGAAAGUUUGCGGCUCAACCGUAAAAUUGCAAUUGAUACUGGCAGUCGUGAGUACAGUUGAGGUAGGCGGAAUUCGUGGUGUAGCGGUGAAAUGCUUAGAUAUCACGAAGAACCCCGAUUGCGAAGGCAGCUUACUAAACUGUGACUGACAUUGAUGCUCGAAAGUGUGGGUAUCAAACAGGAUUAGAUACCCGAGUAGUC